CUCGUUUGCAUCAAGCAAACUAGAUUUAUCCAGUUUUUCUUAGGAGUUGGUUAGUAGAAAUGGAUCCCUUUCUUUUGAGGUGACUCUUCUGUGGCAACGCCCUUCUAGACUGGAUUUGUUCUUCAUUUAAGGAAGUAAAUCAUCCAAAUUUAUUUUCCCGUACAAUCUAAGCUUACUCCAAUACACACAAAAAAGUUAGUUGUAAAUUUACGUAUUUGGAGAUGUAUCCGUCACUUAAGGCAAGAUAUUCUUAUUACCAAAUUAAGCGGAAAAAAUAUAAGACAACGUAAAAUUUGGCAUUCUGCUGAAUUGGUGUAGAAAUAUUAUUAAUAAUUUACAGAUUCAUUCAUCCGAAAGAAAGUCCAACACGUUCCAAUUCAUGGCGUCCAUUGUGUCCACCACCCUUCAACCGCGUUGCAGAAAUGAACUCCAUUUUUUAAAAGCCCACAAAUUUAUAUUUAGCAAAGACUUAAUGAACCUAUCACCUCGUAAACCACCAUCCACAUACAUGCUGCUGUCACUAGCCCCAAAACUUCUGGACGACCUGGCUCAAGGAUUAAAUCUCUCAUCAUCUGUUUUAAUUUCGUUUUAUGCUUAAAAUUCAAAUACGAAAAUUCAUGUAGUCUCAAUUGGUCACCAUUUUCACCGAACAACUUAAAAUAAUGCAAGGCUUUCAAGCAAUGAGAAUCA